UGGUCAUUCAAUCUCUCGCGCAGUGGCGUUGAGACGAACACUAGCUUAAAGCUAGCUUAGCUGCUUAAUGGAGCACAAGUUCAGAUUGAAAAAAAAACUUGUACUAAGGUUCUGACAAAAAUGAUGUCAAGAGGAAAAGGAGAGGAGUUCAAAUUCUACCGUCACUCUCUUUUAAAUAUAUUUAUGCUCCCGCGCUUUUGUGACGAAGUAACGUUAACUAACGUGAACAAACAUGGCUGCCAAUUAACAUUAGCCCGGCCGUAGCUCCUACUAUCAGCACCGCCAACUGUGGAGAGCGCAGUACGGCAGCAUCGAUAACGGCGGAGCGGCGCAGUUCCCGGAUGUUGACCUUUCUGCCCUUUCUCCAAAGUUGACUCCACUUUUGCGGAGCGGUAAUGAAGGCUCUGCUAAACACUGGCAUCAUAGUGGCUGAAACCACCCUGAACCAUUGGACUAUAGCGUCGUGCAGUUAUCAAAGAUGGAGCGCUGGUGCGGCGCUGUCCCGGGCACUGAAAUCGACAGACAGACAGAC